rnacentral:rRNA from 1 species
GACAGAGGUGCCGAGCGUAGGCGGAAUCACUGGGCUUAAAGCGUGUGUAGGCGGAUGCCUAAGUACCUUGUGAAAUCCCACGGCUCAACCGUGGAACUGCUUGGUAUACUGGGUGUCUUGAGCUAUCUAGGGGCAACUGGAACAAACGGUGGAGCGGUGAAAUGCGUAGAUAUCGUUUGGAACGCCAAUGGUGAAAACAGGUUGCUGGGGAUAUGCUGACGCUGAGACACGGAAAGCCAGGGGAGCAAACGGG